AUGGUGCCCUAUAGCCUACUGGUGACCCAGCUGCAGAAAGCUCUGGGUGUGUGGCAGAACCAUGUGGGCUCAGUCCUGUGCCAAUGGGCCAAGGUGGCAGUGAGCCACUUUGAGCCCAACAAAUACAUCCACUAUGACCUGCUAGAGAAGACAGGCGUGGUGGUGCACGCCUGUAGUCCCAGCUACUCUCUUGGGAGGCUGAGGCAGGAGAAUCACUGGAACCUGGGAGGCAAAGAUUGCAGUGAGCUGAGAUCACACCACAAAACAAAACAAAACAAAACAACAAACAUUGAUCUGGGGCUCUCAGCAGCCGUGGCCAAGCAGGCACUGGCCCAUGGCCUCAAGUGCAAGUCCCAGUUCACCAUCACUCCAGACGCCGAGCAGAUCCACACCACUAUUGAGCCGGACAGCUCUGCACAGGUCUUGAAGGAUGAGGGCGGAAUCGUCCUGGCCAAUGCUUCUGGCCCCUGCAUUGGCCAGUGGGGCAGGAAGGACAUCAAGAAGGGAGAGAAGAAUACAAUUGUCACAUCCUACAACAGGAACUUCAUGGGCCACAACAACGUGAACUCUGAGAACCAUGCCUUCAUCAUGUCCCCAGAGAUUGUCACAGCCCUGGCCAUUGUGGGAACCCUCAAGUUCAUCCCAGAGACCAACUACCUGACAGGCAAGGAUGGUGAGAAGUUCAAGCUGUAGGCUUCGGGUGCAGAUGGGCUUCCCCAAGCAGAGGUUGACCCAGGGAAGGACAGCACCUCCCCCCAAGGACAGCAGCAGGCGACACAUGGUCGUGAGCCCCACCAGCCAGCACCUGCAGCUCCUGGGGCCUUUUGACAAGUGGGAUGGCAAGGACCUGGAGGACCUGCAGAUCCUCAUCAUGGUCAAAGGAAAGUGUAUGACUGACCACAUCUCGGCUGCUGGUCCCUGGCUCAGGUUCCAUGGGCAGUUGGACAGCAUCUCCAACAACCUGCUCAUCGGUGCCAUCAACACUGAAAAUGGCAAGGCCAACUCAAUGCGCAAUGCAGUCACCCGGGAGUUUGGCUCUGUUCUUGACACCGCCCUCUACUAAAAGAAACAUGGCAUAAGGUGGGUGGUGAUCAGAGAUGAGAACUACAGUGAGGGCUUGAGCCAGGCACACACAGUGCUGGGGUGACCUCGGGGGCCCAGCCAUCAUCACCAAGGGCUUUGCCAGGAUCCACAAGAGCAAUUAUCAAGCACCCCAGUGGGACCCAGCAGACCAUCCUCCUAAACCACACCUUCGGUGCCAGCAGUGCCCUCAACAGAAUUAAGGAGUUGCAGCAAUGAGGGUGGCACCUCCUGUUCCCACCCCCCGCACCCAGUGCUGGCAUCAUGUUCAAGUUCAGUUCCAUGUGCCCCAUCAGCAAUCCGAUCCAUCUAGCCAUGACUUUUUUUUUUUUUUUAAUGGAGUCUUGCCCCAUUGUCCAGGCUAGAGUGCAGUGGCACGAUCUUGGCUCACUGCAACCUCCAUCUCCUGGGUUCAAGCAAUUCUCCUGCCACAGCCUCCUGAGUAGCUGGGAUUGCAGGUGCCCACCACCAUGCCCAGCUAAUUUUUUGUAUUCUUAAUAGAGACAGGGUUUUACCCCAUUAACCAGGAUGGCCUCGGUCUCCUAACCUUGUGAUUUGUCACCUUGGCCUCCUAAAGUGCUGGGAUUACAGGCGUGAGCCACCACGCCUGGCCCCAGCAUGGCUUCUUAUCCCAAGAUGGUGUGACCAGACAUGCUUCCUGCUCCCUGCUCAGCCCACAGAGUGACUGUGGGUGGGUGGGUGAGGGAGGGUUCUUAAAAUAACUUUCUUGCCCCUGCCUUCCUAUUUUCAGUUUGGUUCAGAUCUUAAGCAGCGCCCUGCAACUGUAUUUUUGAUGACAAGACUCCCAUCUAAAGUUUUUCUACUGCCUGAUCAUUUCAUUGGUGGCUGAAGGAUUCUAGAGAAUCUUUUGUUCUUGCAAGGAAAACAAGAAUCCAAAUUUAAAAAAAAAAACAAAAAAAAAGAGGCAGAUUCAGCAAGCUGCUGCAGGGAGGUGUUGAGGGCAGCUCUGUGGAGACUGCACAUAACCCCAUGUGGCUAAAAUAUGGCCCCGAGUUUGCUGCAGUGUGAACGUGCAGGGUGAGAGCAGUAGAGAUGUCAGUGGUGGGCACAGCAGCAAGGGUAUUCGACCUCCAGGUGAUUGAUAGGAAGGGUUUUACUCCUUAGAGGGCUCCACACCCCGGAUGCAGAGCCUUGAGCAAGUGAAGCACCCGGUCCAGGGAUGAUCCGGCCUUCACUCUGCCUUUACACAUUCGAAUGACAAGUUUAACCACACGCAGUUACCCUGCAGUGUAGGACCUGGCCCAGCCAACAGAACAGAGCAGGAGCUCUGGGAGGUGCUUGAUGAUUGCACCAUAUGAUUUGGAGCCCCACAGAUAUAAACUCAAGCUCUGGUUUUGCCAUUCACGAACUUCUGGCAACCCUCAAUUUCAUCGUCAAGCGGGGAUAAUGCUGGGAUCCGUGGGUUGAGCUGCUGUGAGAGUAAAUGAAGCGUUGCUUGCAAAGUCAUGGUUAGCAAAGCAGUCCCACGGUGGAGCGUUCAGGGCCACGAGUGGAUGGGGGCACCGGACUCUGAAAUUCUCAUCCAGGUCCCUUCCUGUGUCGCACACAUGUCAGCAUGUGGCCGGGCACGGGAUACCUGCCUCAUGAGCCGCGUGUUCAUUCAGGAACUAUUCCAACCUUACAUACCAGGACCUGGGGAGGACAAGAUGCUUCCCCUUAAUGGAGCUGAUAGCCUGGUGGGGAGAUAGAUGGUAGUUAAAUGAUACGGUGAAUGUAUAGAUACAACGACAAGCGUCUCAGAGGGGAACUCUGUGUUCUAGUUGGGGAGGUGGAGAAAGCAUUUCUUGGUGUGUUAGUUUCCCAGCACUGUCGUGACAAAGUACCACAAACUGAGGGGCUUGAACCAACAGGAUUUUCUUCUUACAUUUCUGGAGGCUAGAAGUUCAAGGCUGAGGUUAAGGAGGGCCAUGCACCCUCUAGAGGCUCAUGUCUCUAAAUAAAUAAUCGUUCUAUAGAAUUGUAUCAAUUUAAGAAAAUGUUCAGAAUAGAUUUACAAGCAAAAUUUGAAAAGGUAUAUAUACGUGUGUGUUGAUUUGUGUAUGGAAUAAGACAUACAAUUUUUUUUAAAAAAUAGACUCAAAUGCUAACAGUUAUCCAGGUGGUAGGAUUACGAUUUUUUUUUUUUUUCUUUCUUUCUAUCUGAAUUUUUCUAUGUUUGCUGCAUGGAACCAUUAUAAUUAAUUUUAAAAAGCAAAUACAUUUAUUUCAUUUUUUUCCUGAAAACUGAAAACAACUGUUCAUAAGAAGGAGGCCCCUUCCUGGCCCUUCCCAGUAUCUGGCUUUGCUAGACAUUUCUCGGGUGGUGGACGCAUCACUGCAGUCUCUGCCUUUGGUGUCACAUGAUUUUCUCCUCUGUGUCCCUGUCUGUGUGUCCAAACAUCUCUUUCCUUAGGAGAACACCAGUCAUUGGAUGUAUGUUCUUCCCUCCUCCAGCAUGGCCUCAUUUUCACCUGAUUAUAUCUGCAAAGACCCCAUUUCCAAAUAAAGUCACUUUUUUUUUUUUUUUUUUUGAGAUGGAGUCUUGCUCUGUUGCUGGAGGGCAAUGACGCGAUCUCAGCUCACUGCAACCUCCACCUCCCUGAUUCAAGCAAUUCUCCUGCCUCAGCUUCCUGAGUAGCUGGGAUUACAGGUGCCUGCCACCACGCCUGGUUAAUUUUUGUAUUUUUUUCAGUAGAGAUGGGGUUUCACCAUUUUAGUCAGGCCUUAUGGCACCUGACCAUAAGGUCACUGUCAUAGCUACUGGGGGGUUGGGACUUCAAUGUAUCUUUUGGGGGAACACAACUCAACCCACAUCAGUUGGGGAAAUGAAAUUUGAGUCAAGAUCAACAGCUUGAGAAAGGCUUAUCUAGUCAAAGAGGUCAGGAAGCAGGUUCUGGGCAGGAUGUGGCCUGUGCGAAGGUCCUGGGGCAGGAGGAGCACAGCACCUACAAAGCACUGAAUGAGGGCAGAGAAAGGGAGGGGCUGUGGGCACUGAUUAUCUGUAGGAGUGAAAGAGUUGCUAGAUUAUGUUGUUUUUGUAUAAAGGAUCACACAGGACAGGUCUUGUUGCUCUGUCUGAUAGGAUUGUGCCAUCUAAGCUGCCCAAUCUGCUUUCCUGCUGUAUGCCUUAUACCAGUUCUUUCCCCAUCACGUGUCAUUCAGAGCAAGGUGCAACAGCAAAUGUUUCUGAACUGGGAGAACCUGGGAGGAUGAUGUGGCCUGCCUUGAGCUCAGCGCACAGGCUCUGCCCCAGACACCACACCUGUGUGUCCGCAUUCCCUGCAGAGCUGAGUGCCUCCUGAGGCUGGGGGGCAUAUUGAUGUUAAUAUUUGUACAUUCAACAUUUCAUGAAAUGUUAGGCACAUCAGAGGAGUUUUAGGUGUUCGCUAGAUGUUACUGACUUAGAUAAUUUCAGGGCAUGGCCAAUUCCAUCUCAGGGGCAUUAUUUCUCCUGUCAGUAACCACAUCCUAGAGAAGUUGUUAAGCAUCCGUCUAAUUCAAAGAAAAAUGGGUAGGUGGUAGGAGUUGGGAGGCAGGGGUGGAGGAAAGCCAGCUUGCUAAUCAGAAUGUCAGUGAAGGCUGGGAGUGGGGACUCAUGCCUGUAAUACCAGAACUUUGGAAGGCUGAGGCAGGAGGAUCACUUGAAGCCAGGACUAGCCUGGGGAACACAAUGAGACUGUCUCUACAAAAAAAAAAAAAAUUUCUUUAAUGCAUUAACCAGGUGUGGCGGCGCACGCCUGUAAUCCCAGCACUUUGGGAAGCUAAGGUGGUCAGAUUGAGCCCAGGAGUCUGAGACCAGCCUGGGGACCAUGGCAAAACCCCAUCUCUACAAAAAAUACAAAAAUUAGCCAGGUAUGAUGGUGUACACCUGUGGCCCAAGCUACUUAGGAAGGUGAGGUGGGAAGAUCACAGGAGCCCAGGGAGGUCAAGGCUACAGUGAACUUUGAUGGUGCCACUGUACUCCAUUCUGGGUGACAAAGUGAGAUCAUGUCUCAAAAUAAAUAAAUAAAUACAAAUAAAAAUUGUUCUUUAGAAUUUUAUUGAUUUAAGAAAAUGUUCAGAAUAGAUUUAUUUAUUUAUUUAUUUAGAGAAAGAUUCUCACUCUGUCACCAGACUGGAGUGCUGUGGUGUGGUCUCAGUUCUCUGCACCCUCCACCUCCCAGGUUCAAACAAUUCUCCUGCCUCAGCCUCCCGAGUAGCUGGGACUACAAACGCCUGCCACCAUACCCAGCUAAUUUUUGUAUUUUUAGUAGAGACAGGGUUUCAUCAUGUUGGCUAGUCUGGUCUGGGACUCCUGACCUCAUGAUCUGCCUGCCUCGACCUCCCAAAGUGCUGGGAUUGCAAGUGUGAGCCACCGUGCCCAGCCUCAGAAUAGAUUCAUAAGUAAAAAAUUAAAAAGGUAUAUAUACAUGUGUGUUGAUUUGUGUAUAAAAUAAGACAUACAAUUUUUUUUUUAUAACAGACCCAUAUGCUAACAGUUAUCUAGGUGGUAGAAUUGCAAGUGGUGUUUUUUUCUAUUUCUGAAUUUUUCUAUGUUUGCUGCAUGGAAUCGUUAUAAUUAAUUUUAAAAAGCAAAUAUAUUUCAUUUUUUCUCGAAAACUGAAAACAACUGUUCAUAAGAAUUUUACAUGUACAAGAUGAUAUACUAUGUAGUCAUUAACAAUAAUGUUUAAAAAAUAUUCCAUAAUAUGAUAAAAUAUUCAUGGUAUAUUUAGUGGAAGGAAUAGUUUAUAUAAAAAUAUAUGGGUUUUUUGUUUUGUUUUGUUUUGUUUUUUGAGACAGAAUUUUGCUCUUAUUGCCCAGGCUGGAGUGCAAUAAUAUGAUCUCAGCUCACUGAAACCUCUGCUUCCCAGGUUCAAGUGAUUCUCCUGCCUCAGCCUCCCAAGUAGCUGGGAUUACAGGUGCCCACCACCAUGCCCAGCUAAUUUUUUGUAGUUAGUAGAGAUGGUGUUUCACCAUGUUGGUCAGGCUGGUGUUGAACUCCUGACCCGAGGUGAUCCACCUGCCUCAGCUUCUCAGAGUGCUGGGAUUACAGGCUUGAGCCACCGUUCCUGGCCAAUAUACCAUAAUUUUUUAAAGGACAUUUAUGAAAAGACUAUCAAUAAGACUGAUGUAAUACUUAUAAACUGUGAGAUUACAGGAGAUUCAUAUUUACUUCUUUAUACUUUUCUGUAUUUUCCAGAUUUUUAAUUAUGAAUAUGAAUAUCAAGCUAUAAUAAGAAAAUGUAUUUAAAAAUCAGAUUAUAAAAUUGUUCAGGUUGUCAUGGCCAGGCAGGGUGGCUCAGGCCUGUAAUCCCAACACUUUUCGAGGCUGAGGUGGGCAAAUCGCUUAAGCCCAGGAGUUCAAGACCAGCCUGGGCAACAUGGCAGAACCUUAUCUCUACAAAAACUACAAAAAUUAGCCAGACAUGAUGGUGUACACCUGUCAUACCAGCUACUAGGGAAGGCUGUGGUGGGAAGAUUGCUUGAGCCCGGGAGGCAGAGGUUGCAGUGAGUCAUGAUUUCACCACUGCACUCCAGUGUGGGCAAAAGAACAGGACCCUGUCUCGAAAAAAAAAAAAAAAAAAGUCAGGUUGUGAGACAGUGGUUUUGUGGGGUUUUUUUUGUUGUUUUUUUUUUUUUAGAGACAGGGUUUCACCGAGUUAGUCAGGAUGGUCUCGAUCUCCUAACCUCAUGAUCCACCCGCCUCAGCCUCCCGAACUGCUGGGAUUACAGGCGUGAGCCACCGCUCCUGGCCUGACAAUGGCUAUUUUACAUUUUAUUCCAUGGUUUUCUAUACUUUCCAAAUUCUUCUCAAUAAAAAAUGAUUUCAUAUUGUAUUAAUUAGUACAAUGCAAAAUCAUAAGAUCAGGGGACACUAAGGGUGGUCUACCUCGUGAUCCUCUAAUGCGUAGCAUUUCACCCAGGGUUUUCACGUGCAGUUUCUCAUUUGGUUCUUGGAGGACCCUGUGCCCAAGUGAGGAUGGUGGUGCUGCUUCUGAGAAGUUGCUGCCUCCUCUUCUCCCUUUUGCCUCCCCCGCAAAAGAAGACACCUCGAUUGUGGGGCUGCAGUCAGUUCUGACUCCCAUAUCUUACAGCACUUGGCAGGGACCAGCCUGGACCCAUUACCUGAGUGGGAUGUGGCCUCCUUUCUCUCUGAGCUUUCCCUACACCUCAAACUCUUGAUCAAUCAGCCCCUUACCUCUCCAAGCUUUCAGCACAUGCCUCUCUGCCUCAACCUUCUAAAUAAAUAAUCAACACCUGCACAAAACACUGUCGUUUUCAGUAAGCUUUUCUCCCCCUUUAAUCAUGCCUAUAAUCCCAGCACUUUGGGAGGCCAAGGAGGGUGGAUCAUGAGGUCAAGAGAUCGAGACCAUCCUGGUCAACAAGGUGAAACCCUGUCUCUACUAAAAAUACAAAAAUUAGCUGGGCAUGGUGGUGUGUACCUGUAGUCCCAGCUACUCGGGAGGCUGAGGCAGGAGAAUUGCUUGAACUCAGAAGGCGGAGGUUGCGGUGAGCCAAGAUUGUGCCAUUGCACUCCAGUCUGGGUAACAACAGCGAAACUCCGUCUCAAAAAAAAAAAAAAAAAAAAUUAUGGUAAAAUAUACAUAAGACAAAAUGUAUCAUUUAAAUCAUUUUAAUUAUACACUUCAGUGCCAUGAUAUAUGUAAGUCAAAAAGUAUCAUUUAAAUCAUUUUAAGCAUAAAAUUCAGUGCCUAAUAUGCAUAAGGCAAAAUGUAUCAUCUAAAUCAUUUCAAGUAUACAAUUCAGUGCUCUAAUAUACAUAAGACAAAAUGUAUCCUUUCCUGUGAUACACAUAAGACAAAAUGUAUCAUUUAAAUCAUUUUAAGCAUAAAAUUCAGUGCCUGACAUACAUAAGACAAAAUGUAUCAUUUAAAUCAUUCUAAGUAUACCAUUCAGUGCGGUGAUAUACAUAAGACAAAAUGUACCAUCUAAAUCAUAUGAAGUAUACCAUUCAGUGCCGUGAAGUCCAUUCAUGAUGUUGUUGGAACUGUCACCUCCACCCAGCUCCAGGACUUCCUAAUCAUCCAUCUGAAAGCUUUUGAAUCCAGUCUCAACGCAUUUUAUUGCUGUUCCCAUUGUCAGGUGAGGAAACAGAGGCUUUCUUCCUGACCUCGCUUUUGUGUUUUCUGUUUAGCACUUGCAGUCUGGCUUUUGCCCAUGGCUGCCUUAGAACUGAUCCCCUUCAGGCUGUCAAAGACCUUCUGGGGGCUGAAUUUCAUGGGCUGCUUCCUGGUUUUGUCUUAUUUCUGGUCUGUAGCAUUUGACCAUCUUGUUUUCCAGUCACUCUCAGAAAUGGUCUCCUCCUGAGGUUUCCAUAACACUCUCCUGAGUUUCCACUGCUACCUCUUGGGUCUUGUCUUGUUCCUUUCUUUUCAUCUUUUUCUGUUUGAUUGUUUUGUUUCUUUUUGGUGUUUUGAGAUGGAGUCUCACUCUGUCACUCAGGCUAGAGUGCAGUGGUGUGAUCUCAGCAACCUCUGCCUCCCGGGUUCAAGCGAUUCUCCUGCUUCAGCCUCCCAAGUAGCUGGGAUUACAGGCACCGGCCAUCAUGCCUGGCUAAUUUUUGUAUUUUUAAGAGAGAUGAGAUUUCACCAUAUUGGUCUGACUGGUCUCAAACUCCUGACCUCAGGUAAUCUGCCUGCCUGGGCCUCCCAAAGUGCUGAGAUCACAGGCAUGAGACACUGUGCCCAGCCUCUUUUCAUUUUUUAAAAUCAGUCUCCCCUUUUUAUUCAUUUAUUUUUAAAUUAGAGACAGGGUCUCACUAUGUUGCCCAGGCUGGUCUCGAACUCCUGGACUCAAUCAGGGUCUUCUCUUCAGGCUUCUCCUUCUCCUGGCUCAGGAACUCAUCCUUGCUCCCUAGAACAUUUCAAGAACCACCUGCCUGGGUUCCCUGUCUCUGGCUUUGCCAAUUAGACAAGUAUGAUCUUUCUACCAGGGAAAUGUGAUCCUGCCCUCAAGUCUACGAGUGCAGCCUGAGCUGACAGGAUAACAUCUAACCUCCUUAGUUAGGUAUAGGAUGUCCCUUGUCAUCUGGCCCUGGUGACCUCUAACAUUAUCCUCACCCCACCCCUUGGCAGUCUGCAGUAGAACCAUCUGCAUUCCCAGUGCUGGAACCCAGGCUGCCCCAUGCCUCCCUGUCUCUGCAUAUGUGGUCACUCUAUCCUAAAAUUUGUGAUGUAGUCGCCUAUGUGUCUGUCUAUCUCCAUAUCAGGGCAAGGUCCUGGAAGUGGGUUGAGGAGGGAGGAAGGCGGAUCUUGCUUGCCCUCUUUAUGUCUCAGUGCUUAGUGUACCUUUUUUCUGGACAAUAAAUAAAUGUGUGCUACUCUAGAAAAGAGAUCAAUGUCUUGAUAAGGCGAAAAUCAGCAAGGGGCAGAGCAAGGACUGGACAUCAGGACUUGGUAAUUUCUGACCCUUCCCACUAUGUAAGCAUCCUUUCUUUGGAGGGACCUCUCAGGGUGACAAAGCAUUAGAGGAAAUGCACGCAGUCUCUAUAUGUUCCUCAGAGUAAGUGUUGUAAUCCUGGGCUGGAGUAGAGAGACUUCUUAUGGGGGGCAUUUUAAGGAGGGUGGAGAGUGGGGAUGCUCUUCCUGCCUCCAGAUCACAGACUACAAGAGCUUGCUGCUUCAGAUGAGCUCACACAAGACAGAGAGGCAGGCGGAAUGGUGCGGCUGAAAGACAUCUCUGCAUCAGAAUGCUUGGGUCCUGGUUUUUUUCUAGAUCUGCCACUGACUAGCCAAUCUCAGAAGGCUCAGCAGCCUUCAUGUGUAAAACAAAGGGGUAGUUUCCAUGUCUUUCAACCUGAAAAUCCAGAAAGUGGGAACAUCUGUGUUUAAAGAUUGUUCAACAUUUUUCAGAUUAAACUGAUCCACACUUUCCAAGGUAUCAAGGUAGUGGCUGCAUCCUCUCCUGGUGCUGGGAAUCAUAGACUUCACCCUUCACCCUUGACCGUGACCUGAUUCUAGAUGAUUGUUGCUGAUAGAAAUGUGCAAGUCAUCCAAGGUGCUUCUCUAGAGGAAAUAACUUUAGUUUCACUCUUGAUUUUAACUAUGUUUAUGUUGUGAGUUGAAAUAAAUGGCCUUAAAGUUAAUUCAUUGAGGAGAGAGCGAUUCUGCCUAGAGUUCUUUGAAAGCUGGCUAUGCUGAGUGAGAGCCUAGGGCACUGCCGAGAGUGGGGAGGGAGGGAGGCUGGUUCCUUUCACAAACCCCGCUGGUCUCCUUAGCAGUUGUGUGUGGUUUCCACCCAACCCACCUAUCACUUGGUUAGGACUGCUAAUUAGGGGGCAGAGAUGUGGACAGCUAUCUGUAGCCCUAAAGAUGGUUAUUAACCAGGAGGCUGAGCCGGUGGUUGCAGCUGACACUGGAAAUUCACCCAGCUCCGUCCCCGGGAGAUGGGCCAUCCCACAUCGUAGACGGCUGUGCGCCACAGGCAUUUCAUUCUCCAAAAGCCUACAUUCAUUUAAUGUUUCCAGCCACAUAAGAAGUAGGAAACAUAUGACUUAAUUUCCAGAUUAGAAGACUGAGGAUCGAACAGAAAAAAUAACUUGCCCAAUGUUACCCAGCUGGCACGCAGAGGAGCUGGGAUUCAACACCGGUGUGUCUCUCUCCAUAACACAGGUCUACCCACCUCGAUUCCUUGCCCUGUCAGGCCUUCUCCAUUUUUCCAUCUGCUAAAUAAGUCACACCUGGUUUCGUCUCUCCUUCUUUCUUCCCCUAACCCAUGACACACUCUCUCUCUCUCUCUCUUUUUUGUUUUUGGAGAUGGAGUUUCGCUCUUGUUGCCCCGGCUGGAGUGCAGUGGUAUGAUCUCGGCUCACUGCAACCUCUACCUCUGGAGUUCAAGCGAUUCUCAUGCCUCAGCCUCCCAAGUAGCUUGGAUUAUAGGCAUGUGCCACCAUGCUUGGCUAGUUUUUGUAUUAUUAGUAGAGAUGGGGUUUUACCAUGUUAGCCGGGCUGGUCUCGAACUCCUUCCCUCAGGUGAUCCACCCACCUCGGCCUCCCAAAGUGCUGGGAUUAUAGGCGUGAGCCACGGUGCCCAGCCAUAUCCCAUGACUCUCUAAAGCACUCUGUGGUUGUUUCUGGGUUAUUUUCACUUCUCCAACUACGAGGUAAGUUUUUUGGGGUCAAAAAGCAUGUUUUCUACUUUGUUUUCAACUUAUCCCAAAUUGACUGGUACCAAGCUGGGCACAUAAGACGUGUUUGGCAGUUGAUGAGCCAACAGGGAGCCCACGUUGUGUUAUAAGACCACCGGCUUUGGGCUCAGGGAAUGAAUCCUUGUCUCAUACAGUCCUGUCUACGCCUCAGCAGCCCUCUCUUAGCUCGGCAAUCUCACAGAAUGUCACUGAGCCAGAGCCUUCCCUGACCACCAAGCCAAGUGCUCCCCUGGCUAUUCCUUCCUGUGCCAUCCUUUUUCCUCUUUCAUUGGACUUACUACAACGUGUACUCAUAGGUUCAUUUGAGUAUCUACCUUAUUUUCUCCACCAAAAUGUGAACCCCAAGAAGCCAUGUUCUUUGAGUGACUGAUAAUAGAAACUCCAUUACCAACUUCUCAAAGGGCCAACCACAGAUGCAGUGAAGAGGGUUCCGAAUGAGAAAUCAGGGACCUGGCCUGUGUUCAGGCGCAGUCCCCAGCUCACCGUGGGGUCGCAUCCACACGCUCUCUCUUGGCCUCCGUUCUUUACUUGCAAAACACAGAUGGUGGGUCUAGUCCCACGUACUCUCACAGGCUCUUGCCUGAGGAAGUGAAAUCAUUUAGCCUUGCCGUGUUGUUCAAAUCAAGGCCUGAUGCCAGCAGGACUAGUUCUAAGCCCCUUGAGGAAGGGCUCAUGUCUGACAACCACUCCGUCUCUCUCUCCCUCUCAACAUAAUUUUUGUGAAUAGGCCAAGUAGAUAUACAACUCAAAAAUAUAACAAUAUACAAAAUGCAUGCAGUGACAGUGCUCCCUUAUUCGUCUGUCCUCACCUCCCCAGGUCCCACCCUUAACCAUUGCUAUUAGUUUCUUUCAUAGGGUUCCAGAGUUUCUUUAUAUUUUAUUUUUUUAUUCUUUUUUCCCAAGAUGAAGUCUUGCUUUGUCACCCAGGCUGGAGGGCAGUGGCACUAUCUCAGCUCACUGCAACCUCCACCUCCCAGGUUCAACUGAUUCUCCUGCCUCAGCCUCCCGAGUAGCUGGGACUACAAACGCCUGCCACCAUACCCAGCUAAUUGUUGUAUUUUUAGUAGAGACAGGGUUUCACCAUGUUGUCCAGGCUGGUCUCAAACUCCUGAACUCAUGAUCUGCCCACCUCGGCCUCCCAAAGUGCUGGGAUUAUAGGUGUGAGCCACCACACCUGGCUUUUUUUUUUUUUUUUUUAACAUUUUUGUGGGUACAUAAUUGAGGUACAUUUAUAUGGGGUACAUGGGAUAGUUUGAUACAAACAUGACAUGCACAAUUGUAUCAUGGAUUAUUGAGUAUUCAUCCCCUCAAGCAUCUAUCUUCUCUGUUACAAACAAUCCAGCCACAGUCUUUUAGCCAUUUUAUUUUAUUUAUUUAUUUUUUGAGACAGAGUCUCACUCUUUUGCCCAGGCUGGAGGGCAGUGGCACGACCUUGGCUCACUGCAACCUCUGCCUCCCAGGUUCAAGCAAUUCUCUUGUCUCUUAUAUCCCAAAUAGCUGGGAUUACAAACAUGUGCCACCAUGCCCAGCUAAUUUUUGUAUUUUUAGUAGAGACAGGGUUUUGCCAUGUUAACCAGGCUGGUCUUGAACUUUUGACUUCAGGUGAUCCACCUGCCUCAGCCUCCCAAAUUGCUGGAAUUACAGGCAUGAGCCACCGCCCCUGGCCGCCAUUUUAAAAUAUACAAUUAAACCAUCAUUGACCACAGUCCCCAGUGUGUGAUCAAAUUCUCAGUGUUCUUCACUCUUUUUUCAAUGUUCCAGAGUGUCUAUAUUCACCUACAAGUAAUCAUGAAAGCACUUCCCCCACCAGAUCAUGUCUUACCCUUGCAAGCUUUCCAGCUGUCUUGUUCCAUGUACAACACCAAGUAAGUCUUUAGCAAAUUCAAUACAUUUAGUAAAUCUGUUGAUGAAUUUGAUUAGCUAAAUGAUCUUGUAACCAACACACUGGGCAAGCAACAAUGUGAGUUUGCAAUGUGCCUUAAAGACAGAUGAAAACGCAGGCGGAACGGGGCCUGCUCCAGCCUAUCAUCCUCUCCCUGCACCCUUCCUGCUCCGGUCUGAAACCAAUCCGGAUACCUGAGCCUUGUUUUGUUUUGCUUUUCUUGGGAAAUGUCAAUGUAAGGACCAAUGAAGGUCCUUACAAGGAUAAUAGGGGUUACUUCCGGACUGCAUGAAAAGUACAUAGAACUGAGCCUGGCACAAAGAGAGAAGCCAGUGAGGACCAGGAAUGAUGGUCACAGGCAAGCUCACCUCCUGCCGCCACUCACCUCGGAUGACCUGGUAAGCUUGUGUUACGGGCUGGAUAUUUGCCUGGGAUUUACAUGUCAAAGCUCUAACCUGCAGUACCCAGAAUGUGACUGUGUUUGGAGGAUGGAUGGAGGUAAUUAAGGUAAAAUGAGGCUAUCAGUGUGGGUCCUAAUCUGAUGUGACUGGUCCUGACAAGAAGUGGAGAUGAGGAUACUGACACGUGCAGAGGGAAGCCGGUGUGAGGACACAGGGCAGGGUGGCCGUCUGCAGCCAAGGAGAGUGGCCUCUGGAGAAAGCAGCCCUGCCAACACCUUGGCCUCGGACUUUCAGCUUCCAGAACUAGAGAUCGGUGUUGUUGAAGCCUCCCAGUCUGGGGCACUUUGCCAUGGCAGCUCAAGCCGACUAACACUCCUUGCUUAGCCCUGCAUUUCUCAGAUAUAUUCAACUAGAGAAGUUGUCUUGAUUGUUUAGAGCCAACCCCUGGGCCAUGCUGCCACAAAGGCAGAGGCUGAACCAACUGCUUGUCAAGGAGUUUCCAUCUAGGAAGGGGUGAAGGAGGCUUCACUCUAGAGGGGGCCCAUGGCCCUGUCCCCAGGAAUUCUCCAGCUACGCCUGGGGGUGGAAGCCGCCUUCCUGCCUACUCUUUUGUUGUUGUUGUUUAAGAGCUGGGGUCUCACUCUGUCACCCAGGUUGGAGUGCAGUGGUGCAAUGACAGCUCACUGUAGCCUCGAAUUCCUGAGCUCAAGCGAUCCUCCUGCCUAAGCCUCCUGAUUCACUGGGACUGCAGGUGCAUGCUACCAUGCUGGCUAAUGUUUUUGAUUUUUUAUAGAGACGAAGGUCUUGCUAUGUUGCCCAGGCUGGUAUCAGAUUCCUGACCUCAAGCCAACCUCCCACCUCAGCCUCACAAAGUGCUGGGAUUGCAGAUGUGAGCCACAGACCUGCUCUCCUGGCAGGUCUUUGAAAAUGCAUGCAGGGCUGCAGCAGCCACAGCCCUGCGGGGGGGAGAAGCCCCACUUGGGGGUUGUCGGGGAGCAGGCAUCUGCCAGAGAUUCUGCCUAGUUUUGGCACAUCUUAGGCCAACCUGGGCAUUGAUUCCUUGGCUAAUCUUUCUUCCUUUCUUGCUGAAGUUAAGAGAUGUGGUUUAUGAUGUUUGUAGCUCAGACAGCCUUGACUGAUAGUCUCUACGGAGUCAGAUCCUGACGUUCAUCUACUCUUGAUCAGUGACUCCUGCUGCGGCUCUGGCCUGCCUCUCACUCCUGCAGUAGUGCAGGGCACUGCAGGGCCACUCACAUCCUCUGGUCUGGAAGACCAGACGACUUCUUCCAAGGGUGGUGACAGCUGCUCAGAUUCUCACCGAGAGCCUGGGGCUCCCUCCUGUGGGCUUCUGUGGCACCAUUUGCCCAUGGUUAUUUAACCACAUGGCACAAGGGUGGAUGUGUGUCUGUCUUAGGUUAUGAUCUGAGAUACCAAAAUAGACACCCCUGGCCGAGAAUGGUGACUCAUACCUGUAAUCCCAGCACUUUGGGAGGCCAAGGUGAGAGGAUCCCUUGAGCCUAGGAACUCAAGACCAGCCUGGACAAAAGAGCCAGGUGUGAUGGUGCACACCUGUAGUCCCAGCUACUUGGGAGGCUGAUGUGGGAGGAUCACUUGAACCCAGGAGGUCAAGGCUGCAGUGAGCCAUGAUUGUGCGGCUGCAGUCCUGCAUGGGUGGCAGAGCAAGACCCUGUCUCAAAAACAACAUGAAACAAAACAACACCAAAAGAGACACCCCUUUACCACUAAGACAGACCCUAAGGUUCAGGAGCCAAGAGUUACCAACAGGUCGAGGGUUCAAAGUUUGGCUGCCGGGGCAACUUCUUAAAUUUCUACAGGAAAAAACAUAUUCUUGCUAAACUCCCUAACCACAGGAGCUAGCAGGCACAUUACCCUCACUCCGACUCACAACCCAGCCCACUACAACUCUGACUGGACAGAGGACCAUCUUACAAACACUCUUUCCUGAUAAGCAGCUGCACACUCCAAGCCAGUUCUAGUCACGUCUAGAGACGCCACAUAAACUGUCUGUGUCCUUUAGGUUACCUUUGACAUAAAGAGCCAAAUUCCACCUCAUUUUCAUCUAGGGCCCCCCACAAAGUGAACAUGGGAUGUAUGUUACGUAUAUGUUUACCUAUUGCACAUACACUGGGCUCCCCUCAUAAAUAUGUAUUGAUUUAGCCCCAAAGUUACUGAAUAUGCAUGACGCUAUUGUGUAACACAGACCCUGUGAGGCCUAACACACAUCCUGCCCUUUCUCUAUUUGAAGAGACCUUCAGUCCAAAGUAGAGACCAUCUCUUCCCAGUUUGUAAACUGAUAUCACCAACAAACCUCUCCCUCCUUUUUUUUUCUUUUUUGAUGGAGUCUUGCUCUUGUCACCCAGGCUGGACGGCAGUGGUAUGAUCUCCACUCACUGCAACCUCUGCCUCCUGGGUUCAAGCAAUUCUCCCUGCCUGAGCCUCCUGUGUAGCCUGGUUUAUAGGCACCUGCCACCAUGCCUGGCUAAUUUUUGUAUUUUUAGUAGAGACAGGGUUUUGUCAUGUUGACCAGGCUGAUCUUGAAUUCCUGACCUCAGGUGAUUUGUGGGCCUUGGCCUCCCAAAGUGCUGGGAUUAUAGGCUGAGCCACCACGCCUGGCCCAAAGCUCUCUCCUUUCAACCACAGAGCCAUCUUGGUGGUCUUUGGAUGGCAGGCUCCUUGAGGCCCAGGCUGGUGUCAUAACAUCUCUGGAGCCUCAGCACUUGUCACAGUGGUCACUGUGUUCUGCCUUUAACCAAUUGGCGAGGUCCACGUGCUCCCAGCCUGCGGGGGCUUGUCAGUGCUGUGGCACAAUCUCAGCUCACUGCAACCUCAAACUCCUGGGUUCAGCCUGGGUUCAGCCUCCUGAGUAGCUGGGAUUACAGGCAUGCUCCACCACACCCAGCUAAUUUUUUUGUAUUUUUAGUAGAGACGGAGUUUGGCCAGUUGGCCAGGCUGCUCUCGAAUCCUGAGCUCAAAUCCUGCCUCAGCCUCCCAAAGUGCUGGGAUUACAGGUGUGAGCCACUGUGGCUGGCCAGCACUGACUCUUUCACAGCUCACUAUUGCAGAGUCAGGAAGGAUCCCGACCAAGAUGCAACCUCCACAGCAGCUCAGAGUUCAAUAAAAUGCCAUUACUCGAGCAGCACUUACUGGAGCGGAACAGAACCGGCUGCCCACUGGCCCUUGGCCUCGCUGCCCUCACUGGAAGGACCAGAGUCCAGAGCCUGGCUGCAUAUUCAAGGACACCAGCCAGACAGUUCAGCAUCAGCAGGGGGUUGCAGCUCAUAAGGUCAUCGGGCCCAGGGCCCACUGCUGUGGUCGUGGAAUCAGCUGCGAUGUCAUCCCAGGUUGAUGACCUAGUCUGGACAGGAAGAGCUGUGGGUAUCGCCGAGGCUGUGCUUACGGUGCAUCAGUGGCACAGCACCUGUGCAUCCCAGCAAAGCCCAGAGUGACCCAUUUCUCGCCUCAGUAGCCGGUAUCAGCAUGCCAGUGGCCUGUCUCCUUCUCUGGGGCCCCAGUCCUUUCCAGAAAUUCACCCAGCUUGCUGACAAGAGACUGUGCAGGUGCUGCUGUUACCUGGUGGUGGGCUGUCAUCGGACAGCUGCAGAUGAUCGCCCUGAGGCUUGGUUGUGUAGGUUGUCAAGCAGAAGGCUGGCAAUAUUCCCACAGCCCGGAUGUGCUGAGGCAGCAUACGUGAGUCAGGCCACGGCUGCUGCAGCCACAGUGUGGCUUUGUGCUGUGAUCGCCUGCAGAGAGGAGCGGCCACUCACCCAUCCACUGACUCCUAAUUGCUUCUUAUCACCUAUAAUUCCCUUUCUCCUGGGAAAAGCCCUGCAAGUUCCAGGCUUUCCCCUAUGCUGUUCUGUGGAUUCCUUUUGGUUGCUUUCCCAGUAUGAGAUCCAGCAUUAUUCCUUUUGAAAUUGUAAUCCCUGCUGUUUUCCCACAUAGAGAGUGAAACUAAGAGGCACUUUUUUAAGAAUCUGCUUCCAAGUGCUCUUGGACCAAGUUUAAGUUCCCUGUCUACUCUAGCAGGCUCUGUCUAUUCCCAGGGCAUCUGUCUGAAGUGGGGCCUCUUCUGGCCAAAUCCUACCAACCAAGACCUGGAUCUCCCAGAGCUCAGAAAGCUCCCACUAGCAGGGGCCCUGUUUUCCUUCCUGCUUCCUUUCUCUCCCCUUGUCCCCUGGUCUCCAGAUGAGAAGACACAGAUGGCGCUUGUCCCAAGAAGACCUUCACUUGUGCUGUGGGCAGGGAGGUCACUCUUCCCUUUCUUAGCACAAAGCAGUCACUGUGCUCUGCCUUGCAGAGGGAAAAUGCAAAUGGUGCUCUGGGUGUGGCCGAGUUCCUGGGGGCCCCAAGUGCCGGGGCUGCAUUCUUUAUGCGACAGCCUUUUUCUUCCCUUUCUGCAGGCUGGGCCUGAAAUAUGAAGAUUACUUAAAACUCAUACUAUGCCAGAACAUGGACAUCACAACAAAUUGGGUAAUGAGUGUCAACUCAAAGACUAUUUAAGAUUAAUUGUUGCACAAGAAAACCUGAAAUGCCCUGGAAGCUUAUGGACCAUAAAUGAAAGAAAAGUUCAGCACAACGUCCUCAAGCUUGAAAAGAAUCCUAAGACUUCAAGACUAACAAAGAGAUGUGAAGCCAAAACUCUCCUGAACUUUAAUAACAAAAACAAGGUGUGAUAAUUGUGCAAGUGAGAUGAACUAUUUUUCUAUUCCCUCUACAGGAAGAUAUUAUUGCAGAAUCAUUAUUUUUGCUGUUGUUUGUUUUAUUUUUUAUUUUUAUUUUUAGAGACAGGGCCCCCCUCCCCCAGGCUGGAGUACACGAUCAUAGCUCACUAUGGCCUCGAACUCAUGGGCUGCAGUGACCCUCCAACCUCAGCCUCCCCAGUAGCUAGGACUAUAGGGCAGGCAGAAUCAUUCUUCUGUGAAGAGAGAUAUAUACAGCCCAAAAAAUGCAGAGAAAGGAUGUUUAGAGGUACCUCGGGCAAUUUCUAAGCAAAAAUAUUGCAUUAUUCUUUUGAGUUUUAUGAUAUUCGUAGUAUUGGUCAGUUUCUGAAACUUCAUAAUUUGUUCCAAAUAAAUUUCUUGUUCUAAAUAAAUAUUCACUUUAGUACUGA